AAUACCCGGGAUCAUACACACAGCAGGAUCACACACACAGCAGGAUACACGGCUACAAGAGAGUCACUAUUUUUGGCCAUUUCCACACCAGGGAACCGUUCCCAGCCCCAGGGUAUCCCACCAGGGACAUACAGCCUCACGGGACGCACACCCCCCCAAAACCAGCUGAACCUACACUUGCAUUGCGGGGCGAAGGAAGCAAUCCCGCAGCGUCCUGCUCCCACGGCCCUUUCCAUUUCCCACCCCCGACCCUGCCCAAGCUCGGAGCCCCCAGUGGCCGUUUCUCAAUCCCCGGACAAAUUCCGCUCCGAAACAACUUACUCGCCGGCGCGGACGCGACCCGAUCCCGGUGAAGGCAGGCGUAGGAGCCGGCGGUGGCCGCCCCGCUCGUCCCUUAUCGCGGCGGGCAGCCGGGCCCCGCCCCGCCGCCACAGCGCCCGGCCGCGCCCGCACGUCGGCAGCGCCCGGGGGAGGCGCGGGAGGGAGCGGGAGGCCCGGGCCGGGGCGGCCCCCGCACCGCUCCCCCAGCCCUUGCGCGGGGCGGGCAGCGGGCACCCCGCCUGCCGCCCUCCCUCACCCCAAACACCCCGCGCCUCCCGCCGCCGCUGCCACUUUAAACCGCAAAAAAAACAGCGAGUUUUGCAACAAACCCACGGUUUCUCGCAAGUCGAGAAGCGGGGCAGGGCCGAGGCGCCCGGCACGCCGGCCCGCAGCGCCCAACCUGCACCGCAGCCAAAUCCCACCCACCCUCCGGCCCCGCACGGACCCCGCGCCCAGGGGCUCCCCGGCCCAGCGCUGCGCCUGCCGACUUCCACAAUUCCCGCUGGGACACUGUUAACUCCCGGUGGGACUGAAGCGACACCUACACAAUUCCUCUCGCAUCUCCUCCUGCUUCCCACGUCUGCGUGUCACCGGCACACAAGCUGUAGCCACGGAACCCAGAGAACUGCCCCGAUGAGGCAGGAAGACAAUCCUAGUGCUCCCAAUUCCAAAAUACUUACCAGUCUUUACAGACAAAGUUUUUGGCUGUUUCUUUUAUCACCCAACAGCCUGGCCGGAGGGUUGUCACUGCAAAGACCCUGCAGCCAAAAGUUCUGCUCGCAGGAUCCUCCUAGGGCUCUGCUGGACCAUCAUCUCCAGUCUCCUACACAGGCUGCCCACCACCAGCCCUGCGGGACUACUCCCCGUGGCCUUCUCUUGCUUUUAUUAUCAGAAGCUGCUCGGCAAAAAUCCUUUUUUAAGUUUAGAUUAUAA
rnacentral:lncRNA from 1 species